rnacentral:rRNA from 1 species
GCAAUCUGCGUUACACUAAGGGAUAGCCCAGAGAAAUUUGGAUUAAUACCUUAUAGUAUAUUGAUGUAGCAUUACAUUAUUAUUAAAGAUUUAUCGGUGUAAGAUGAGCAUGCGUCCCAUUAGCUAGUUGGUAUGGUAACGGCAUACCAAGGCUAUGAUGGGUAGGGGUCCUGAGAGGGAGAUCCCCCACACUGGUACUGAGACACGGACCAGACUCCUACGGGAGGCAGCAGUGAGGAAUAUUGGUCAAUGGGCGCAAGCCUGAACCAGCCAUGCCGCGUGCAGGAUGAAGCAUCUAUGGUGUGUAAACUGCUUUUGUACGGGAAGAAACACCUCUUCGUGAAGAGGCUUGACGGUACCGUAAGAAUAAGGAUCGGCUAACUCCGUGCCAGCAGCCGCGGUAAUACGGAGGAUCCAAGCGUUAUCCGGAAUCAUUGGGUUUAAAGGGUCCGUAGGCGGUUUUGUAAGUCAGUGGUGAAAUCCGGCAGCUCAACUGUCGAACUGCCAUUGAUACUGCAGGACUUGAAUUAUUGUGAAGUAACUAGAAUAUGUAGUGUAGCGGUGAAAUGCUUAGAUAUUACAUGGAAUACCAAUUGCGAAGGCAGGUUACUAACAAUAUAUUGACGCUGAUGGACGAAAGCGUGGGGAGCGAACAGGAUUAGAUACCCUGGUAGUCCACGCCGUAAACGAUGGAUACUAGCUGUUUGGUAGCAAUACUGAGUGGCUAAGCGAAAGUGAUAAGUAUCCCACCUGGGGAGUACGGGCGCAAGCCUGAAACUCAAAGGAAUUGACGGGGGCCCGCACAAGCGGUGGAGCAUGUGGUUUAAUUCGAUG